rnacentral:rRNA from 1 species
GAUGAACGCUGGCGGCGUGCCUAAUACAUGCAAGUCGAGCGAACAGACGAGGAGCUUGCUCCUCUGACGUUAGCGGCGGACGGGUGAGUAACACGUGGAUAACCUACCUAUAAGACUGGGAUAACUUCGGGAAACCGGAGCUAAUACCGGAUAACAUGUUGAACCGCAUGGUUCAACAGUGAAAGACGGUCUUGCUGUCACUUAUAGAUGGAUCCGCGCCGCAUUAGCUAGUUGGUAAGGUAACGGUUUACCAAGGCAACGAUGCGUAGCCGACCUGAGAGGGUGAUCGGCCACACUGGAACUGAGACACGGUCCAGACUCCUACGGGAGGCAGCAGUAGGGAAUCUUCCGCAAUGGGCGAAAGCCUGACGGAGCAACGCCGCGUGAGUGAAGAAGGUCUUCGGAUCGUAAAACUCUGUUAUUAGGGAAGAACAAAUGUGUAAGUAACUAUGCACGUCUUGACGGUACCUAAUCAGAAAGCCACGGCUAACUACGUG